AACGUAGGACGCAAGCGUUAUCCGGAGUUACUGGGCGUAAAGCGCGGGCAGGCGGUCUUGCCAGUCUGAUGUGAAAUCUCUCAGCUCAACUGGGAGCAGCCAUUGGAAACUACAAGACUGGAGUCUGACAGAGGUAGGCGGAAUUCCGGGUGGAGUGGUGAAAUGCGUAGAGAUCCGGAGGAACACCAGGGGCGAAGGCGGCCUACUGGGUCAGUACUGACGCUGAGCCGCGAAAGCCAGGGGAGCGAACGGG
rnacentral:rRNA from 1 species